CAGCGUUCUCGGAACACUGGGCGUAAGCGCGCGCAGGUGGCUUCGUAAGUUGGAUGUGAAAGCCUACGGCUCAACCGUAGAACUGCAUCCAAAACUACUUAGCUAGAGUCUGGGAGGGGAAGAUGGAAUUAGUUGUGUAGGGGUAAAAUCCGUAGAGAUAACUAGGAAUACCAAAAGCGAAGGCGAUCUUCUGGAACAGUACUGACGCUGAGGCGCGAAAGCGUGGGGAGCAAACAGGAUUAGAUACCCUGGUAGUCCACGCCCUAAACGAUGAAUGUUAGUCGUCGGGUAGCUAGUCUAUUCGGUGAUGCAGUUAACACAUUAAACAUUCCGCCUGGGGAGUACGGUCGCAAGAUUAAAACUCAAAGGAAUAGACGGGGACCCGCACAAGUGGUGGAGCAUGUGGUUUAAUUCGAAGAUACGCGAAGAACCUUACCUAGCCUUGACAUAUUUAAGAACACUUUAGAGAUAGAGUGGUGCCUUCGGGAGCUUUUAUACAGGUGCUGCACGGCUGUCGUCAGCUCGUGUCGUGAGAUGUUGGGUUAAGUCCCGCAACGAGCGCAACCCUCGUCACUAGUUACUAACGGUUCGGCCGAGGACUAUAGUGAGACUGCCUUCGCAAGGAGGAGGAAGGUGAGGACGACGUCAAGUCAUCAUGGCCCUUACGGCUAGGGCAACACACGUGCUACAAUGGCCAGGACAAUGAGAAGCAAUACUGCGAGGUGGAGCAAAUCUAUAAACCUGGUCUCAGUUCGGAUUGUAGUCUGCAACUCGACUACAUGAAGCUGGAAUCACUAGUAAUCGUAGAUCAGCUAUGCUACGGUGAAUACGUUCCCGGGUCUUGUACUCACCGCCCGUCACACCAUGGGAGUUGAUUUCACCCGAAGCGGGGAAGCUAAACUGGCUACCCUGCCACGGUGAAUCG
rnacentral:rRNA from 1 species